ACAAAACCUUCCCCUUAUAUAAACCUCUAAAACCCUAACGCACAGCUGGCCGCCCAUUACCUUCUCUUUCAUCCUUUCUCUAACGCCACCCUCAACACUCACCCUUCUUUCUCUCCUGUGUUUGCAUUCAAUCAAGAUUGGGUAACCAUAUGAUCAUAUAAUAAGGUGAGAGUUUGAUGAAUUGUAAAAUACUACAGAAACAAGAUUUUUGCGUGUGUACAUAUCUUGAUUAUUUGCACACAGUUUCUGGGUUCAAUAAGUUAUCGUUAAUGUUGUAAUAUUUUCGACCUUUGAUCACUACCAUGGACAUUGAGCAUCAAAAUCUGUCAAUGUGUCACAUUAUAUGAAUUGCGCUGUUUUUUAUUUUUAUUUUUUUAUCUUUUAUCCAGAAGCCAGUCAAUUGAUUAAUAAUGGACUCAGAGCCUUCCAAAGCCAAUGCACCGAGGAAGGUAUGAUUAAUAGAAUCAGUUUGAUUGUUCCCGUUCUUCAAUUUAAGAUAUAUGUUAUUGGGAAGGUUAUCGGUUGUUAUGAAUUUCUGUAGGUGAGAUUUGCACCCAAAGCUCUUCCCAAGAAAGAAAAAAAGCCCAUUUUACCUAAAGUGUAAUUGUCUAUGACCUCGUUUAAUACUUAUAAAUUGAUAUCCUCGUUCUUAUCAAUGACUUACUUUUAACUUUUGUUUUUGAUGAUUUGUUUAUUCUUCAGGGAAAAGGUCGAAAACGAUAUUGAUGCCGCUCAGGCACAAGAAUUGUUACACCGCUUCAAUGUACUUCCACUUUCUUCUAUUUCUUCAUUUAUUUUUAUUUUUGUUUUUUUUGGUGAUAUGUAUUGAUUUGUACUUCUUCCUUUUUGCUUUUUCUAUGUCGUAUAUAACAAUUACUACAAUUUCUCUUCUUCCAGGAAUCAUCUGUGAAGGCAAAUCCUAAGUAUGAAAAGAAAGGUAAACAACUCUGUCUAAAUUACGUUGGGGUAUAAUAACUAAUAACAAUGUUACCUCUCCGAUUGAAAGAAAUACUACCAUUUUUUUUGGGUAUCAUGGCAUGUUUAUAAAUCAAAAUGUGUUGUGUCUGACGCUAUUUCUUACCUUUUGCAACUUGAAACUGGUGUACAAUUCCAAUAACUAUAAAUGCACGUAGCUCAUUUUUAAAGCAGAGGCAUCCUCAAUAUGUUGGUCCUUUCCAAAUUCAAUUAUACUUCUGAUCUCUAGUCUCUCAGAGCUGUAGUAAUUAAUACAUGUGCCUCUCUUUUGCAAAAUUCUGUGCAGUCUAUUGAUUGACAGAAUCCUAGAUUGAGACAGAGCAACAUAACCAUGUUAUAUCCUUUCUUCAGCAAC
rnacentral:lncRNA from 1 species